GAGGAAGUAGCCAAACAUCAGAUUCCUUUAAAUAGUUAGUGUAACCAAAUUUUAUGAAAGAACUGAUCCAAGAAAAUGAUAACUUUGAGAAUAUGUUCGCAUAUCGAACUUCAGAAGGUCUUAUCCCCUUCUCUUCAACUUCGUUUGUAUCAUCAGAAUACCAGACACGAUUGCAAGGCGGGACAUAAACCUCACUAAUAAAGCAUACGAGCGAGCAGAACAGAGUAAUUAAAGUAAGCAACCGAGCCAUACUGGUAAUUGCAAUAUAGGGACUGAACAACAAAAUCAAAAGUGAGGUAACUACUUUCAGAAGCCAAAAUAUCAAUAGAGAAGCCAUGGGAACUCUUAGAGUUGAUUGCUCAGCAAACUGUAAAAAUAAUACGAAACAAUAAGUUACAACUGAAAAAAAAUUCCACCCGAUGUUUUUUGUCUUAUAUCCCACAUAUAUUUGUGUAAUAAUAACAAGUGCUAUCGAAAAGAACUUCAUCCAGAUGGUCCAAAAUUGCGAAAAGUGAGGACGAAAGAUCCGUCUCCUAACGUCAAAAACAUAUUGUAAGCCCCCGCUAACUAAAGCGAAUAAAUUUGGGAUAAGCAAAACCAGAGACAAGCCUUUGUUUGCGGUGAUCAUUACAUGUAUACUUAUCCAAAUACUUUAUUAAAAGCGAUGCUUAAGUCUUUCUAUACAGGGCUAAGUAGAGUAAUCGGAGCGCUAUGUAGGAUUCAAAAUAAAGUUAAUGUUAGGAUAUCAGAUCACCAUCUAUAAAAGUGUUGGUAGUUGACUAAUAACGUUUGCGCUGAAUCUCAUUAUGUUGCUUAAUAACAUCUGAUAAAUUAAUCGGAGUUAAAUAUUCUUGAACUCGGAGUUUAGAUUCGACACCGGUCAAGUGUCUUCAGUCCAUUAGGAAGGGCAAGCAAACCUCUAAUUCACUGUUGUAGAUGUGUUCUGUAAUCAAUAAAAGAGAAGACCUUGAAAGAAUACCUACUGAGAUUUUUUCAUAUUUUGUAGUUUUAUGAAACGAUAUCAUUUUAGAAAUAUCAAACUUUUAGAUAUAAACUAUAGUUAUGAUUCUCGUCUUAUAAACGCACCUGGAUGUCUAGCGUUCCAUCUAAAGUGAAACUUUGCGCAUCUUAGCAAUGUUUAUCACGUUAAAAAUUUCGAAGUUAAUAAAACAGAAAAACUCGUCUAUAGUACUUUCUCUAGUUUCAAUAAUACUUUAUGUCAAC